rnacentral:lncRNA from 10 species
CAGCCCUAGCUCACAAACGGGACUCUUCUACGCCCGGUGGGGACUCUGGUCCUACCCGUUGGACCUUGUGGGCCUACUACUGUGUGCUACAUCCUCCUGUGAUUCUCCUCCCUUUAGAAAAUUCUUUCUGGCUCACGCCUGUAAUCCCAGUAUUUUGGGAAGCCGAGGCAGGAGGAUCGCUUAAGCCGGUGAAUUCGAAGCCAGCCUGCGCAACACGAACUUCCUGGAGAACUUCCCAUAAGAGUACCUGGAGACCGCCUGCCUCACUGCUCAAGGGAUUAAAGAUGGCUGCAAAUUCUCCGACACGCCUCCCAUGGACCUAAGGGGCCUGUAACUGCUUUGACCAACAGAAAACAGCAGAAGUGAUGCUGGGCCAGGUCCUGGCUCAGACCCUGAGAGACUGCAGCUUCACUUCCUGUCAUUUGGAGCCUUGAGCGGCCAGGUGAGAAGGCUGACCACCUUGCUGCUAGUGAAGAGGGGCCCCGGUGAGCCCAGCCUCACAACAGCCCCCACCGAGCUGUCAGGGGUGUGAGAAAAGCUGGUGGACCCUUCAGAUGAGCUCAGUUGAGUAUUUCCAAGUAACCUCAGUCAAUGCUACAUGAAGCCAAAGAAUUGCUUGAAUUCCUAACCCACAAAAUAACAAGAUAUAAUAAAAUGCUGUCUUAAACCAACAA